GAAAACGAAAAUAAAAAGGUAAAACUAUUUUCUUUCGCUCCAAGAAUAUUAAAAGAAAAACAAUCACAUUGAAAAAACCCUAAUCUUAACCCUAGAUUUUCUGCAAUUAAUUCCCAAUGGCUAGCGACACCACAGAUUCUCAUCGAAGGAAGCACCAUCGUUCUCCAUCCGACGAAGAGGAAACCGAUAAGUCCUCCAAACGCCACAAGCAUCGCCACCACAAACAUCGUCACCACCGCCAUCGCAGCAAAAAGCACGAGGACGAAGCCAGAGAUGGCGGUGAAGAUCCGCUUCCUCCUCCUUCGAUUCCUCGACCUGAUGAUGACGUCGAGGAAGGAGAGAUUCUUGAUGAGGAACCGACCGCCGAAAUCAAGGCUGAUCAAUCUCGCGAUGGCCGGGAUGUUUCGGAUCCGGGAGCUGGCGAAAAUAGUAAUUCUGUGGAUGAGCAAGUAAGAGGGAUUGGUGACAAGAGUGAAGAUAGGAAGCAUAAUCAUUCUAGGCUCUCUGGAAAUUUAAGUGUUGAGUCUCAAGGAGAAUUGGUCCCCAGAGUUGUCUCUGAUGAUCAUAUCAAUAGGUCACCUUCAAGAAGUGGUAAGAAAAAGAAUUACCAUGAGGAUGUCAAAGAGGUUGAUGACAAGAAAUUAAGCGACACAAGAAACUCGUUGUCCUCUGAAAGUUCUGGGGAAAAAUACAAAACAUCAGCUAGCUCACCACUUGAUUCAAGAUGUUAUGAUUACUCUAGGAGUAGAUCUGAGUCACUUUAUAUUGUGAGGGAAAGAUCACGUUCCCAAAGCAUAGUAGAUGAGGAGGCUCUUUUGAAAAGAAGUCGCCGUCACGAACGCGACCCUAGUCAGGAUGGGCAACAUGGUAGUAGAAACUUAGUUAGGAAUGAUGAAAGAGAACGAAGUGCCAGUUAUGGCAGAUAUAUUGGUGAAGAAAGGCAUCGCAACAUGGAGACACGUGGUAGAGAGAGGAGCAGGGAAAGGGAGAUGGAUUGGGAAUUAAGAAGGGAGAAGGAGCGCGACAGAAGCAGAGAAAGGGAGAUGGGAGUUGAAUGGAGCAGGGACAGGGAGAUUUAUGGUGAGAGGAGAAGGGAGAGGGAGCGAGCAAGGAGUAGAGAUAGAGACAUGAGUGGUGAAAGGAGAAGGGAGAAGGAGCGAGAGAGGAGUAGGGAGAGAGAAAUGGAGAGGGAAAGGAGAAGGGAGAAGGAGCGAGGGAAGAGCCGGGACAGGGAUCUAGAUGGUGAAAGGAGAAGGGAGAAGGUGCAUGAUAGGAUCUGGGAUACAGAAGCAGAUAGAGAUAGGAAGAGGGAGAAGGAAAGAGAUUGGAGCAGGGAUCAUAGCAGUGCUUAUGAUAGAGAUAGAGAUAGGAGAAGGGAAAAAACUGAAGAAUGGAACCAAGAGCGGGAGAGGGAAAGGAGAAGGGACAGGAGUAGGGAUAGAGAUAGGAAUAUUGAAAUUGAAAAUGAUGGCUAUGGUGAUCGAGAUAGAUAUAAGAAACAUUCUCACUCGAAACGGGAUGAAGCAGAAAUUUAUCGAGACGGAACAAGGAAGAAUGAAACAGUAAAGGUUCAUGGUUCUAACAUCGAUUCAUUGGAAAGACAUGGUGAUAAACUAAAAAGAGAUGAAGAGGAGCAAGACGAUUUUGAAGAAAGGAUUACGUUAAAACUUGCUGGAGAGGAGGAGGAAGAGGCAGAACUCAAUAGGAUUAAAGAGGAAAGUAGGAAGCGAAGGCAAGCCAUCUUAGAGAAAUAUAAGAGUCAGCCGUUGCAGCAACAGACACAGUCACUUGCAGCGGAUGUAAAUAAAGAUAAUAGGCCUGUAGAGAAUAAUGGGCAAAUAAUAGCUGCUACUCGUGCUGGUCCAGAUGUCGUUGGUGGGCAUGAAGACAUCUAUUUUGCCGAUCCAUUAUUGUCUGUUCAGAAGUCACCUUCAGAAAAUGGGCAUGCUGCUGCGGAGAGGACAUCUGGUGCUGCUGGGCUUGGUGAGGGUACCCCGAAGAGUGAGAGGUCAGAUGAUAUUUUCUGUGAUGAUAUAUUUGGAGAAACACCUACUGGAGUUCGUAAAUUGGGUAAAGGUGAUGGUUUGCCGGUUAUAAGGAGUGGUCUUCAUGACAAUUGGGAUGAUGCUGAAGGAUAUUAUAGCUAUCGAUUUGGUGAAAUACUUGAUGGCCGAUAUGAAGUAACUGCUGCUCAUGGAAAAGGAGUUUUUUCGACGGUUGUACGUGCGAAGGAUCUUAAGGCUGGUGCCACUGUUCCCGAAGAAGUAGCUAUAAAGAUCAUUCGUAAUAAUGAAACGAUGCACAAGGCUGGUCAGCUGGAGGUUCAAAUAUUGAAAAAAUUAGCAGGUGCAGAUCCAGAUGAUAAGCGCCAUUGUGUUCGUUUUUUGUCAAGUUUCAAGUACAGGAAUCAUCUUUGUUUAGUUUUUGAGUCUCUUCAUAUGAAUCUGCGUGAAGUUCUCAAGAAGUUUGGUCGCAAUAUUGGUCUUAAACUAACUGCUGUCAGAGCUUAUGCUAAGCAACUUUUUAUUGCGCUUAAGCAUCUAAAAAACUGUGGUGUUCUUCAUUGUGAUAUAAAGCCUGAUAACAUGCUGGUAAAUGAGGCAAAAAAUGUGCUGAAGCUUUGUGAUUUUGGUAAUGCCAUGUUUGCUGGUAAAAAUGAAAUUACACCAUACCUUGUUAGCCGCUUUUAUCGUGCACCAGAAAUAAUUCUUGGUUUGCCUUAUGAUCAUCCAAUGGAUAUCUGGUCUGUUGGUUGCUGUUUGUAUGAGCUAUAUACUGGAAAAGUUCUUUUCCCUGGUCCAACAAACAAUGACAUGCUGCGUCUUCAUAUGGAACUCAAAGGUCCUUUUCCAAAGAAGAUGUUGCGUAAGGGAGCAUUUACGGAACAACACUUUGAUCAAGAUCUGAAUUUUCAUGCUACAGAAGAGGAUCCUGUUACUAAAAAGAGUAUAAAGAGGAUGAUUCUUAACAUAAAGCCAAAAGAUAUCAGUUCAAUUAUUGUUGGCUCUCCAGGUGAGGAUCCAAAGAUGGUAGCCAACUUCAAAGACCUUCUAGAAAAAAUUUUUGUGCUUGAUCCAGAGAAGAGAAUGACAGUAACUCAGGCAUUGGCUCAUCCAUUCAUCACGGGCAAGUGAAACAUGUUGCUGAUUUUAUGUCUCCAGAAAUGUGUUGCGCUAGAUAUUUGUACAUUAUGACCUAACUCAUAUUUAGAUAUCUAAUCAUUGGGAAUUCUGUCUUUUAUCUUCUCUGUGCUGGACAAAGAGCUUUGGGCACUGUUUUUGGCAUGGUUGAAGUCAAAAGGUUGAUGUUUGGUCAGGAGUACUCUUUACUGGCGAUUCUUUCAGUGGAAUGUACUUUUCUAUUGAUAGCUGCUACUGCUUUGAGGCAACCCUCCAGUGCUUAAAAGCUUAAAAGGCACCCAGGAGAAGGCACUUGCACUGGUCGUAAAGGAGUCAGCUUGAAGUCAAAGUCCAUCUCAGGUGUAAAACCUGUGCUCCCCAAUUCUUGAUUGAUGCACCUAUAAAUCCUCUUGUUCAUAGAUUUUACGAAGGAAUUAAAUGCAUAUGGAAAUAAAGGCUUAGGUUGGAACUCUGUACAAUUUUUGGAUGAGUAACACAUCAACUUAUAAUGCUCGAGUGGUACUUAUGUGCAUAUUGAUCAAUAUCAGUGCAAUGUGUAAGCUAGUCUAAAACUUGUGGUGAGCUUGAAAGUGUGUGGUCUUUUUAAGUUCUGCUGGAAACGCUACAGUCUAACCUAAAUUUGUUGUAUGGGUCUUCGUUUUAAUCUAAUCGUGAUAGAUUUUCUUGCCUCCUGUUGUUUCUCUCUCAAUAAAACUUGAAAUUUGGAUUUAGAAACACUAAAUUUAGGUAGGUAAUGUAGUAGUACCCCGUGAGUAGAGAAGGCUGUGGUAGUGUGACUUGAAUGGCCUCUUUUGAUGGAAGCAAGGCUAGAGUCAGUGAUUCCAAAUAAAGCAACGUUUAGUUUGUGGCUUCUGUGAUAUUGCGUGAGGAGGCUGCUUUUGGGGGUUUGGCGUAUUCAGGAGGAACAACGGUUACACAGAUGAAUGGAAUUAGAAAAUAGUGGUUUUCCCCUGCACCUAUAUAAUUUUGUAUGUUUGUGUGCUGUUAAUUAUGAAUACGAAAGAAGACUCAUUUUUCUUGUA